UACGAAGGGGGCUAGCGUUGUUCGGAAUCACUGGGCGUAAAGGGCGCGUAGGCGGCCGAUCAAGUCGGGGGUGAAAGCCUGUGGCUCAACCACAGAAUUGCCUUCGAUACUGUUUGGCUUGAGACCGGAAGAGGUUAGUGGAACUGCGAGUGUAGAGGUGAAAUGCUUAGAGAUGACAUAGAACACCUAUUGCGAAGGCAGCUUACUACGCAGAUAUUGACGCUCAUGCACGAAAGCGUGGGGAUCAAACAGG
rnacentral:rRNA from 1 species